rfam:Prevotella multiformis DSM 16608 genomic scaffold SCAFFOLD1, whole genome shotgun sequence.
AGUCGUAUCGAUUCGAUCGGGAUAGUCAUCAAAUAAAUCAGAAAACCCGAGAUGACUUCUUCUGUCAAUGGCGGGCCACAUAAACCGCAUUCCUGCGACUAAGCCGCAAGGCCAGUGGAUUACAAAGACGAAGAGCUCUCCUAUCAUUGAUACUCGGACUUUUCAUCACAUCGUCGGUACGACUUUUCUA